CUUGAAACACGGACCAAGGAGUUUAGCGUGUACGCGAGUCAUUGGGUAAAAAAAACCCAAAGGCGUAAUGAAAGUAAAUAGUGGAAUAUUAAUAUUAUCGAUUUAUCUUUAAUAUUGAUUUCCCUAUAGGGAAGAUGGAAAGCUUGUCAAUAAUAUAAUCGUGUGCGUUAAUCCGUGCAUGAGAAAUAUUGUUGGUAUAGAUUUCUCGCACUCCCGGGGCGCUUGUUUCUUGCUAUGCAAGUUAUUGCGCACCUAGAGCGUACACGCUGAUACCCGAAAGAUGGUGAACUAUGCCUGGCCAGGACGAAGCCAGGGGAAACCCUGGUGGAGGUCCGCAGCGAUUCUGACGUGCAAAUCGAUCGUCGGAGCUGGGUAUAGGGGCGAAAGACCAAUCGAACCAUCUAGUAGCUGGUUCCCUCUGAAGUUUCCCUCAGGAUA
rnacentral:rRNA from 1 species